CAGCCGCCGCGGGAAUACGAAGGGGGCUAGCGUUGCUCGGAAUUACUGGGCGUAAAGGGAGCGUAGGCGGACAUUUAAGUCAGGGGUGAAAUCCCGCAGCUCAACUGCGGAACUGCCUUUGAUACUGGGUAUCUUGAGUAUGGAAGAGGUUAGUGGAAUUGCGAGUGUAGAGGUGAAAUUCGUAGAUAUUCGCAGGAACACCAGUGGCGAAGGCGGCUAACUGGUCCAUAACUGACGCUGAGGUGCGAAAGCGUGGGGAGCAAACAGGAUUAGAUACCCCUGUAGUCCCUGUCUCUUAUAC
rnacentral:rRNA from 1 species